UGGACAGGUAAUGCUCUUUGUAAUUUUUAUAGCUAUUUUCUUACUCCUUAUAAUUCUAGAGAUUAUUUAGACAGCUGUAUAUGUAGAUUGCUACAAUAUCAGGUCAUGUGUUGCUCUUAUCUGUCAUUCUGUCACCUUCACUGAGCCCACCUCCAGGCAUGUGCUCCAGUUAUUAAUCAUCCCUCCCUUAACAGUUGGCCAGAGAGUUUGCUUUAUUUAACAGAGUUGAAGGACUUGCACUAGGUGUAGCUGUGAGGCAUGUCUCUGUUACUCAUUACCAUGCUGAGCACUCAUCUCUAUAUUCCACCUCACAGAACCCCUGCUCCAAAUUCAAAUUUAAAGAGAUUGUAUUGGCUGAUUAUUAUUACUUUCUGUUCAAUGCACAUUGCAGUACAUUUUCAAAUCAAUAUUUUUUUCAAUCACAUUUGGCUCUCCUAGGCCUCUUCUAUCUGUUUAUGUCUCAGCGUUAACACUUACACAUUGGAGGUUGUUAAAUGAUUCGGGCACGCUAUAGAUAGUUCUUUCAGUUUCAUAUUACCGACAUUGGGGUGAGUCGAUAGUAUGUGAAACUUUCCUGCAUUAAUGCGUAGGCUGAACUUUCAUGUUUGAAUGCUAAAUGUCUUUCUUAUAUAUGGUGAAGUCUUAAGCUCUUUGACAUUUUUUUUUCCAGAAGUGUGUUAAAAAGAUCCUCACACUCUGUACCAUUGUCCUGUGGAGUAAACUGAAGGAUUUCAAACUACCUGGCACUUCACCAAUGGUCCUAAAGGCUACUGCUCUUCAUCAAAGAUGGAUUAUUCGUGGAAGUGCUUGGUGUGUAUCUCUUUGGGUCAUGGCAGCAACAAAAGAAGAUGGCCACAUCGGGUUCCUCUUCUGUCAGCCAAGAACAGUAUUCGGAGGAUACAGUGGGCACAGGUUCACCAAAACUGGACCAGGUCAAUUUGUUCCCAUCUUCAACUGUCCCGUUUCUGCCCACAAAUCUGCCUCUCUCACUGGAUGUUUUUGGUUUUUCACAUCAUGCUGUGUAAACUCUACAGACUAUUAUGCAAAUCCAAAGAAUCUGAAAUAAUCAAACCAGCCCAUCUGGCACCAACAUCCAUGCGCACAUUCUGGUUUUUGAUGUGAACAUUACUGUAACUGAGGUUCUUGAUCUGUUUCUGUGUGAUUGUAAGCACUGCACUGCUGCCACAGGAUUGACUGUAUGGAUAAUUGCAUAAAUGAGCUAGGGUACAGGUGAUCCUAAGCAUAGUUAAGCACAAGGUUCCUAACCUUUCAUGGAAUGAAAGUAAUGUUUUAACUACAGCCAGUACAUCAUACAGCAUUUCAAAUAUCUACUGCUUUCACUUGCUAGGGCCUUUGCUGAUUUCACAUAGAUGAUUUCACUUUUAAUGAAUCCAAGAAUCUUUAACUUUCCAAAGACCCAUAUGAGAAUGUUCAUACAGCAAUUUUUUUUUUUUUUAUCUGAUGCUGUACUGACCUCUAGAGCAGCAGCCAAUCAGAGUGUACAUUUCAAUCACAAAUGUAUUUUUAAAGAUAUACUAUAUCAUACAUGAACAAAAAGCUAAAAUUCUUAAGAGCAAUUAUUCUUAAAUUGCUAAAUGGUUUAAAGUUUAGCCCCCCCACCCCCACAUUUCCUUAAGAACUGUUUGACAGAAAUAUAAAAUGUCCCAAAACUUAUGUGGCUUAUUGAUGAUUUUGAGCCAAUAUUUCUUGUGCUUUUGGGUCAGUAGUGAUGUACGUCUUGGAGUUCUGGCAUGGAAACCUUCUGUGUUUAGUACGCGCCUUACUGUGCUCACUGAAACCUUAGUGCCUGUUACCACCAAGUCUUGCUGCAGGUCUUUUGCAGUCACUCGAGGGUUUUUCCACAACCUGCUUUCUCAGAAAUCUGGUUGCAGCCGUUGAUAGCUUCCUUUUUCUGCCCCGUCCAGGUAUUUUAUAAAUUUUCUACCCCUAGCCAGUUCAGGUAUUUCAUGUGUUCCAGCUCAAGCACACCUGGUGCAACUAAUGAAGCCCUUGAUUAGUUGCAUCAGGUGUGCUUGAGACAACACCCGUUUUGCAUAUUUGUGCUGUUGUGAGGGAUUCUGUUCAGGGGGUUAAAUUAUUUUGAAACUGGAGAAAUCAUUAUAAGUUGCAUUUUCAGUUGAAUUUGGGGAAACCGCUUGAAGCAUUCAUUGUGUUGAACUAUUUCAAUUGCUUUUCUUUGAUUUGUUCAUUGCAAAUAGCUGAAAGUCUGUAAAGUUUGACAAUAAACCUGAUUUGCAAUGGGGGUUGAAUAAUUUUGAUUGCAACUGUAAGUUGUUUGGUUAAAAUUAUGAUGGUCUGAUACAUAUAGUAAGCUGUAUCAGAAUAACAGGUGUUAAACCUGUGGUUACGACAGUUAAGCUUGAGGUUCUGCUCUGGCAUUCUCAGUGUUUAAAUACCCAAGUUGUUUCAUGUUUUCCUUGGUACCACAGUACUAUUAGUCGAAGGUGUUUCUGGUUUGUGCUAUCUACAGUCUGCCUGGCUUUGGUUUAAAUAGUGGUAUCACCCAUUGCUUUAUUGCUGGAAAAAAUGUGUUAUUACAACUGUAUGUUAUUUACAUUUGGGGGAAUAACAUUCCAUUCCUUUUGGAGUAAGUCUAUACAACAUAAUUUGUGUCAGAGGUUACUUGCACAUGGGUCUACACAGGAUUAUGUCCUUCAAAGGGGAUAUUUGAGAAAAGAUCACAAAUGAGUGCAUAAAAGGAACCAAAAGAUAAAAGUGUGGUGAUCCUGUGCUUCAGUCCUAAUUGAACACUUUCCACUCUACAAAAUACAUCAGAAAAUGAUGCUUUGAUUUGCACCACUUAAUCCAUGUACACCUGGAUGCAAACUAUAAGUAGCGUUUCUAAUUAGAGGGUCUUACUCUCAGCUUUUGAUAGCAUAAAUAGCUGCAUUUGCAUAAGCCGUGAAUCAGUUGAGCAGCAUACACAAUACAUUAUACUGCUUUCUGGAGAUUUUUGCAGCAUGUUAUGGAUAGACAGGGUAUUGAGCAGCAGCAACUCAUGACCACAGGUUUUGGUUGGGCAGGAUGGCAUUAAUAAUGGCAAAGCCUCAAACAAUAUUAUGUCAAGAAGCUAUUACACUAUUUAGUGAUUUUUAAAAAAAAAAAUUUUUACAGUUACCCUGGGCAGUUAAGAGUUGGCAACAUACAGUCAUCCAGUAUAUAGUCUAGCAGCUCAUUUUGAGAGUUUAGUCCAUGUGUGUUUGAGAUAACAUUUUUGAUGUACAGGCACUAACCAGUCCAUAAGCACCCUUUCACUCACCCAAACUUUUCAAUAUAUCUUACAAAACAAAUGGUACUGUAAAUCAUAAAUACAUUGUUUGCACUACACUUUGCUUUUCUUAUGGAAAUUUAUUAAUUUAAUUUCUAUGACUUGCACAUGAUCUUUGUGGCCACAGGGUAUUUUUCAACUAGCCCACCCUGGCAACCCUGUCAUUAACUGUCCUGCCCUUUGCUUCUCCCUAAGCAUGGGGUAGCAUGAAUCAUGCCCCAGUAGGUCUCUAUUAUACUUGUUGCAUUUUUUUUGACCACUAGAUGCAAUGAUAGCUCUAAAAUAUCUAGAAAGUUGAGCAAAUCAAUUGAACAUUGGAUUAUAUCUGUUAAAUAGCAACUUUAAAAAAAAAAAAAUAAAUAAAUAAAAAAGGGGGUACCUUAAAAGCAUUAGUAUUCAAUAGAAUUUAAAAUCUGUGAAGUUGCGAAUGAGAACUUAAAGGACUUGAAGGUUAACAUUUGUUGAACAGCUGAUAUAAAUGGCUCUGCACCUAAUUACAAGCCAUUGGUAUUACGAUCUUCUAUGAUAAGUACUGUCUUACCUUGGGUUAGACAGUCAUGGUAGAAGCCUGUUGCUUACAGCUGUACUGUAUGUUUUGUGUUUUAUAUGUGUGACAACCAUUAAGCAUCGACCUAUGCAUUGUAUGUCAUGAAUUCUAAGCUGUUUCUUUGUCAGUGUGUACAGUAAAAUCCAGUGACAAAUUAAACGAGCAACUAACAAAGUCUCUUACUAAGGUGUUGGGCCACCACAAGCUGCCACAACAGCUUCAACUCUACUGGAGAGUUAAACAACAUAACUUCUCUUUCUUCCAAUAGAUAGUCCCUCAGUUUGGUGUUUUGAUGAUAGUGACAUUAAGCGCUGUUUAACACAUUGCUCCAAGAUCUCUCUUAGGUGUUAAAUUUUUGUUGAGAUUUGGUAAAUGGUCUGCACUUAUAUAACACCUUUUAACCUUAUCAGUUCUACAAAGUGCUUUACACUGUUCUUCAUUCACCCAUUCACACACCAAUGGCAGCAGAGCUGUCAUGCCAGUGAAGGUACUAUUCUGCCAUUGAGAGCAACUUGCCCAGUGUCUUGCCCAAUGACACUUUGGCAUGUGGAGGCACGUGGGCCGGGGCUCAAACUGCCAACACUACAAUUAGUGGACAACCCACUCUACCGUCUGAGCCAGAGAUCUGGUGACUGUGAAGGCCAUAGCAUAUGAAUUACAUAAUUUUCACACACACUUCGAUGAGGAUAAAAAAGUUUUUUUUUAUCAUAGAAUAAAGAUUAGAAGAACUUUUAGAAGAACUUUAUGUUGAUUUUCAGUGACUCUUCCACAGACCCAGACCAUACCAGCAAAAUGCCCUCACAGUGUUGUGGACUUCUUCACUGUAGAGGUCAAGCAUUCAGACAUGAACAGUUUUCUUUUGUAUGAGGCACAUGUACUUAAACAUGGAUCUAAAUGCAGCUGUCACUGUUCCUACUGAAACACAGCCAUUUGAACAGACUUUGAAUGUCACUGAAGGUCCUGCCAUCCUACUGCUCUGUGCAACAA